rnacentral:rRNA from 1 species
ACUCCUACGGGAGGCAGCAGUAGGGAAUCUUCCACAAUGGACGAAAGUCUGAUGGAGCAACGCCGCGUGAACGAUGAAGGCCUCGGUCGUAAGUUACUGUUGUAAGGGAAGAACAAGUAGCCGCAGGCAAUGGCGGCACCUUGACGGUACCUUGCGAGAAAGCCACGGCUAACUACGUGCCAGCAGCCGCGGUAAUACGUAGGUGGCAAGCGUUGUCCGGAAUUAUUGGGCGUAAAGCGCGCGCAGGCGGCCUCUUAAGUCUGAUGUGAAAGCCCCGGCUCAACCGGGGGAGGGCCAUUGGAAACUGGGAGGCUUGAGUAUAGGAGAGAAGAGUGGAAUUCCACGUGUAGCGGUGAAAUGCGUAGAGAUGUGGAGGAAC